rnacentral:rRNA from 1 species
AACGAACGCUGGCGGCAUGCCUAACACAUGCAAGUCGAACGAGACCUCCGGGUCUAGUGGCGCACGGGUGCGUAACGCGUGGGAACCUGCCCUUAGGUUCGGAAUAACUCCCCGAAAGGGGUGCUAAUACCGGAUAAUGUCUUCGGACCAAGGAUUUAUCGCCUUUGGAUGGGCCCGCGUUGGAUUAGCUAGUUGGUAGGGUAAAAGCCUACCACGGCGACGAUCCAUAGCUGGUCUGAGAGGAUGAUCAGCCACACUGGGACUGAGACACGGCCCAGACUCCUACGGGAGGCAGCAGUGCGGAAUAUUGGACAAUCGGCGAAAGCCUGAUCCAGCAAUGCCGCGUGAGUGAUGAAGGCCUUAGGGUUGUAAAGCUCUUUUACCCGGGAUGAUAAUGACGGUACCGGGAGAAUAAGCUCCGGCUAACUCCGUG